UACGGAGGGUGCAAGCGUUAUCCGGAUUCACUGGGUUUAAAGGGUGCGUAGGUGGGUAAGUAAGUCCGUGGUGAAAUCUCUGAGCUUAACUCAGAAACUGCCGUGGAUACUAUUUAUCUUGAAUAUUGUGGAGGUGAGCGGAAUAUGUCAUGUAGAGGUGAAAUGCUUAGAUAUGACAUAGAACACCAAUUGCGAAGGCAGCUCACUACACAAUUAUUGACGCUGAGGCACGAAAGCGUGGGGAUCGAACAGG
rnacentral:rRNA from 1 species